rnacentral:tRNA from 1 species
AGGGCGCGCACGGAUUUGAACCAUGGACCCGCUGAUCUGCAGUCAGCUGCUCUACCGCUGAGCUACACGCCCAC